rnacentral:rRNA from 1 species
GACGAACGCUGGCGGCGUGCCUAAUACAUGCAAGUCGAGCGAACAGACGAGGAGCUUGCUCCUCUGACGUUAGCGGCGGACGGGUGAGUAACACGUGGAUAACCUACCUAUAAGACUGGGAUAACUUCGGGAAACCGGAGCUAAUACCGGAUAAUAUAUUGAACCGCAUGGUUCAAUAGUGAAAGACGGUUUUGCUGUCACUUAUAGAUGGAUCCGCGCCGCAUUAGCUAGUUGGUAAGGUAACGGCUUACCAAGGCGACGAUGCGUAGCCGACCUGAGAGGGUGAUCGGCCACACUGGAACUGAGACACGGUCCAGACUCCUACGGGAGGCAGCAGUAGGGAAUCUUCCGCAAAGGGCGAAAGCCUGACGGAGCAACGCCGCGUGAGUGAUGAAGGUCUUCGGAUCGUAAAACUCUGUUAUUAGGGAAGAACAAAUGUGUAAGUAACUAUGCACGUCUUGACGGUACCUAAUCAGAAAGCCACGGCUAACUACGUG